rnacentral:piRNA from 1 species
UGGGGAAAUGUUCAGCUUGGUGGCAAGU